rnacentral:rRNA from 1 species
UAUCUGGUUGAUCCUGCCUGAACUGAUGUGUUCAUUUCAAAGAUUAAGCCAUGCAUGUAUAAGUGUAACCUGCCAGACAGGGAAACUGCGUACGGCUCAUUACACCAGCUAUAAUUUACUUGACCUUGACUUCUUACUUGGAUAACUGUGGUAAUUCUAGAGCUAAUACAUGCACCAAAGCUCCAAUCUCCCCAGAGCGGAGCGCAUUUGUUCGCCACAAAACCAAGCGCCUUCGGGCGUCCAGUGUUGACUCAGAACAACUAAGCUGAUCGCACGGUCUUGUACCGGCGACGUGUCUUUCAAGUGUCUGCCUUAUCAACUUUCGAUGGUAGUGUACCUGACUACCAUGGUGAUGACGGGUAACGGAGGAUAAGGGUUCGACUCCGGAGAAGGGGCCUGAGAAAUGGCCACUACGUCUAAGGAUGGCAGCAGGCGCGCAAAUUACCCACUCUCAACAUGAGGAGGUAGUGACGAGAAAUAACGAGACCGAUCUCUUAUGAGGCCGGUCAUCGGAAUGGGUACAAUUUAAACCCUUUAACGAGUAUCUAUGAGAGGGCAAGUCUGGUGCCAGCAGCCGCGGUAAUUCCAGCUCUCAAAAUGCAUAGAAUUAUUGCUGCGGUUAAAAAGCUCGUAGUUGGAUCUGUGCUAGCCGGCCGGUCCACCCACUGGGUGUGCACUGGUUCGGUUGGCUUUUCUGCCGGUCUUUCCCCGGCGUUGGCCUUCACCGGUCGGCGUCGGUGGGCUGGCGAGUUUACUUUGAACAAAUCAGAGUGCUUCAAACAGGCGUUUCGCUUGAAUGUUCGUGCAUGGAAUAAUAGAAGAGGAUUUCGGUCCGAUUUUAUUGGUUUUGCUGACCGAGAUAAUGGUUAACAGAGACAAACGGGGCCAUUCGUAUUGCUACGUGAGAGGUGAAAUUCUUGGACCGUAGCAAGACGGACUACAGCGAAAGCAUUUGGCAAGAAUGUCUUCAUUAAUCAAGAACGAAAGUCAGAGGUUCGAAGGCGAUCAGAUACCGCCCUAGUUCUGACCGUAAACGAUGCCAACUAGCGAUCCGCCGGCGGAUUCAUUCGCCCUGGUGGGGAGCUUCCCGGAAACGAAAGUCUUCCGGUUCCGGGGGAAGUAUGGUUGCAAAGCUGAAACUUAAAGGAAUUGACGGAAGGGCACCACCAGGAGUGGAGCCUGCGGCUUAAUUUGACUCAACACGGGGAAACUCACCCGGCCCGGACACCGUAAGGAUUGACAGAUUGAUAGCUUUUUCAUGAUUCGGUGGAUGGUGGUGCAUGGCCGUUCUUAGUUCGUGGAGCGAUUUGUCUGGUUUAUUCCGAUAACGAGCGAGACUCUAGCCUACUAAAUAGUUGGCUCAUUGCUGCUGUGGGCACAACUUCUUAGAGGGAUUUUCGGUGUUCAGCCGCACGAAAUUGAGCAAUAACAGGUCUGUGAUGCCCUUAGAUGUCCGGGGCUGCACGCGCGCUACACUGGCAAAAUCAGCGUGCUUGUCCUUCCCCGAAAGGGGUUGGUAAACCGGUGAAAAUUUGCCGUGAUUGGGAUCGGACAUUGCAAUUAUUGUCCGUGAACGAGGAAUUCCUUGUAGGGGCGAGUCAUCAACUCGCUCUGAAUACGUCCCUGCCCUUUGUACACACCGCCCGUCGCUGCCCGGGACUGAGCCAUUUCGAGAAACUCGGGGACGAUUAUGCGUGUCGGCUUCGGUCGUCGCGUUGAUUGGAACCGAUUUAAUCGCAGUGGCUUGAACCGGGCAAAAGUCGUAACAAGGUAGCUGUAGGUGAACCUGCUGCUGGAUCAUUA